GACGAACGCUGGCGGCGUGCCUAAUACAUGCAAGUUGAGCGCUGAAGGUUGGUACUUGUACCAACUGGAUGAGCAGCGAACGGGUGAGUAACGCGUGGUGAAUCUGCCUUUGAGCGGGGGACAACAUUUGGAAACGAAUGCUAAUACCGCAUAAAAACUUUAAACACAAGUUUUAAGUUUGAAAGAUGCAAUUGCAUCACUCAAAGAUGAUCCCGCGUUGUAUUAGCUAGUUGGUGAGGUAAAGGCUCACCAAGGCGAUGAUACAUAGCCGACCUGAGAGGGUGAUCGGCCACAUUGGGACUGAGACACGGCCCAAACUCCUACGGGAGGCAGCAGUAGGGAAUCUUCGGCAAUGGACGAAAGUCUGACCGAGCAACGCCGCGUGAGUGAAGAAGGUUUUCGGAUCGUAAAACUCUGUUGGUAGAGAAGAACGUUGGUGAGAGUGGAAAGCUCAUCAAGUGACGGUAACUACACAGAAAGGGACGGCUAACUACGUG
rnacentral:rRNA from 1 species